UACGUAGGGACCAAGCGUUGUUCGGAUUUACUGGGCGUAAAGGGCGCGUAGGCGGCAAUUCAAGUCAUCUGUGAAAUCUCCGGGCUUAACUCGGAACGGUCAGAUGAUACUGCUUGCUAGAGUGCGGAAGGGGCAAUCGGAAUUCUCGGUGUAGCGGUGAAAUGCGUAGAUAUCGAGAGGAACACCAGAGGUGAAGACGGGUUGCUGGGCCGACACUGACGCUGAGGCGCGAAAGCCAGGGGAGCAAACGGG
rnacentral:rRNA from 1 species